AUCCGGAUGAUGAGUCUCAAAUGGGACGAAGUGAGCAUCCUGGAU
rnacentral:hammerhead_ribozyme from 1 species